rfam:Tenericutes bacterium RIFOXYB2_FTLL_36_25 rifoxyb2_full_scaffold_4, whole genome shotgun sequence.
UAAAUACUUCGGGGCACCGUGUAAUUCGGGACCGGCGGUAUAGUCCGCGAGCCUUAGGGCAGACCUUGUGUAAUUCAAGGACCGACAGUAAAGUCUGGAUGGAAGAAGGAUAUG